CAAAGCGCAUUUAACAGCAAUUGGUGAACAGGUCACCAAGUCUGUUAAGACAACCAAUCACAGAUGAGUGCGACCAAAAGGUUGAUGAGAAAUGCGACAAUAACCAUUCGUAAAACAGUCUCAUAACAGCGGCUGGGCGCUUCCGGAUACAUUUCUGUUCAAUAACACCAGUAUCGUUCACAACGUACAGACGCGUUUGUUUCAGGACAAGUUUUUCGUGUACAGACACGUUAAAAACUGUACAUUCUGUACACAAUGGUAUGACUUCUGAUUAAAGCCGGCUGCUACGUGGCGCGCAAAAUCAGUGCAUCCCUUAAACAGGGAGAACAGCCUGAACAACCCGUGCUCACACCAUGUAGUCUGGCUAAAGGUGAA